GUCCAUUUGGGGACAUCUGAUAAAAUUGGAACGAUACAGAGAAGAUUAGCAUGAUCCAAAAAAAAAUUUAUAAAAAAAAAGAUUCUUUU
rnacentral:snRNA from 1 species